rnacentral:misc_RNA from 1 species
UUACAUGAAUACAUCGAAUCGGAAGAUGGACAGUAUUCUUUGCAAAAUUUAUGCUGAACCGUAUUUUUUGUCAACGAUGAGAUAAACACAUAUAUUUAUACAUAUCUGCAUUUUUCGCAUGUGCAUACACGUGACAAUUUGCUUACUUGAAAAUACUCCUGUACUUUGAAUGGUUGAAGCUUAGUUUUUAUGGUUUACGAGCCUCACAAUCUCUGUUUUUUAUGUGAUAUUAGCAUAACAAUGAAGUAAUAAAGUAAAUCAACCUGUGGUAAUUACUAUAUAGAGCAAGUAAUAUUAUGGAAGAUUCAUAAAUAUGCACAACAGGGGUUCCCAUGAUUAUUUUUAAUAUACGAUGAUAAUGAUUAUAGCAAUGAAACGCUAAAGUUCAUUGUACAAUGUUACAGAAAAAAAAAAAAAGAAUGAGCAAGAGCAAAAAAAAUUACUUCAGCUUGAGAAACUAUAGAUCGAAACGAUAUAAUUAAUAAUACCAUCGAUCAAGCGGUACGGAACGAUCACGCGAAAGUAAGAAAUAUCUUCCACCGUACAAUUUUCCCCAUCGACGAAUGAUGCAGAUAAAACCUGUUCGUUUGAAAAUAUAUGCGUUUCUAGAGACUUUAAGGAAUGUAAGUCUCAUGUUAAAAACACGAAGGAAUCGAAUAUGUUCAAUGUAUUUUUAUUCAAACGAUAUUCUGUCAUUUGAUAAAGAUAGACAAGUAAGUAUCAUUAAAGCGUGAUUGAUGUGUCAUAGUAAUACCAUCUUAUUAGUAUGAGGAAGUGGGUAUUUGAAAAAAAA